AAUCAACGCUGGCGGCGUGCCUAACACAUGCAAGUCGCACGAGAAAGGGUCUUCGGAUCUGAGUAAAGUGGCGCACGGGUGAGUAACACGUGAAUUAUCUACCUUCGCGUGGGGAAUAACUUCGGGAAACCGAGGCUAAUACCGCGUAAUAUCUACGGACCAAAGCAGGAAUGCGCUUGAAGAGGAGUUCGCGGCAGAUUAGUUAGUUGGCGGGGUAAUGGCCCACCAAGACGAUGAUCUGUAUUCGGCCUGAGAGGGCGCACGGACACACUGGAACUGAAACACGGUCCAGACUCCUACGGGAGGCAGCAGUGGGGAAUUUUGCGCAAUGGGGGAAACCCUGACGCAGCAACGCCGCGUGGAGGAUGAAGUCUCUUGGGACGUAAACUCCUUUCGAUAGGGAAGAUUAUGACGGUACCUAUAGAAGAAGCCCCGGCUAACUUCGUGCCAGCCGCCGCCGUAA
rnacentral:rRNA from 1 species